rnacentral:sRNA from 2 species
CCCUUUGUUGGGGAGUAGCUUUCGGCUCUGAAGCCGAGAUCGCGUCAACAUACUUGCGCUUCGGCGCAUGGCGCGAUCAGCGAACCUAGUUCGCCUUGCGAGACCAGCGUGCAUCGGACCCGCACCGGCCGGGACCGAUGCCGCUGUCGCUCGUCCGGUGAGGUUCGUGAAUGUCCCCUUUCGGUAUCGUCGCGCUUUCGCU